ensembl:lncRNA
GAUCAGGAAAGGACCUCUGGCCAGAGCCUAAACUCAGGAGUGCCAAGGCUUUUGCUCAGACAAUAUGGACAAUAUGGAAAUACUCCAGGCAAAGAGGCUGCAGCACCCCCAGAGGCGGCUGACAAAGCUGCUGCGCCCCCAGAGGUGGCCGACGACGCUGCAGUGCCCUGCUCUUGAAGAUGGAGGAGGGGGAAGAAUGGGUCCGCCUCGCCACCCCUAGAGGUGGCCAAAGAGGCUGCAGUGCCUCCAGUGGUGGCCGACGAAGCUGCAGCGCCUCCGGUGGUGGCCGAAGAGGCUGCAGUGCCACACUCUCGGAAACGGAGAAGGAAGAGAAGGAGGAGGAAGACUUCUUCUGUCCUUCAAGGCCUAGAGGCCGUCCCAGAGACUGGUGCCAUCCCAGAGCCGCCCAAGCUUCUUGCCCUGCCGGCACCACCCAAGCUCCUUGCCCUGCCGGCACCACCCAAGCUCUUAGCCCUGCCAGAGCCACCCUAGCUCCUUGCCCUGCCAGCUCCACCCAAGCUCCUUGCUCUGUCGACGCUGCCCAAGCUCCUUGCCCUGAUGCCAGCUCCGCCCUUGAUGAGUGCCCUGCCGGCUCCGCCCAAGCUCCUUGCUCUGCCGGCUCCCUCCUUGAUACGGGCUCCACCCUUCCUGCCUAUCAAGCUCCCAGCUCCACCCUGGCCCCCUGUCAGGACUCCAGAAGUGCUGGAGUCUGCCUGGUCUGUCCCUCGGUCCCAACCCUGGCUGGGGUUCCUGUUCAGCCAGAGUCUCCCUGGUUUGUCCCUCCAGCUCCGCCCUGGCCCCCUGCCGGGACUCCUGGACUGUCUGAGCCUCCCUGGCUCAACCCUCCCGCCCCUCCCUGGACCCUUGUAAAGACUUCCUGGGCUGUUCCUUUGGCACAGGCUUGGUUCCCCUCCCUCCCCUCUUUGUCUCUGUGAUUUGAUAUUCCUGUCUUGUGUUGUCUGUUGUUGUGUGGCGGUCUUGUUUUGUCAUGUUUGUGUUGGUCUUGUGUUGUCAUGUUAUGUUCUUGUCUUGUUUUUGG